AUUUACUGUGUUUUUUGAGUAAUCUGAUGUAAAAGCUGACGUUGCGGGUCAGUUUCUAUAUAAUGGGGAGUGAGGUAAAAUCAAGUAAAAGGGAAGACAAGAAGCGACACCUAAAGAUCAUCAGAUAUAAGCCACUAAAGGCUUUUCUACACAGCACUCGCACCCCAAUAACGAAUUGCUGGAAUAACAGAGAGGUAUCUGGAUCCCCGGGUCAGCAUGUAUACUGCGCCUGAUGUAAACCUGACCUUUGCUGAUAUAUAUCAGUUUUACAA